UUUAACCGCAUUCAUGAGUUUCCUUGUGUCCAACUUUGAUCAUCCGUCUUAUUUGAAAAGAUUUUGAAAAAAAAUAAAAAACAUUAAGUUACAUAUAAAGUAUUAUUAAUGUUUUAUUAUCUAAUAGCAAUAAAAAUACUAAUCAUAAAAAAAUUUCAAAUAAGACGGACGAUCAAAAGUUGGACAUUGAGACGCUUAAA
rnacentral:pre_miRNA from 1 species